rnacentral:rRNA from 1 species
AUACGGAGGGUGCAAGCGUUGUUCGGAAUUACUGGGCGUAAAGCGCGCGUAGGUGGUCUGUUAUGUCAGAUGUGAAAGUCCACGGCUCAACCAUGGAAGUGCAUUUGAAACUGGCAGACUUGAGUACUGGAGGGGGUGGUGGAAUUCCCGGUGUAGAGGUGAAAUUCGUAGAUAUCGGGAGGAAUACCGGUGGCGAAGGCGACCACCUGGCCAGAUACUGACGCUGAGGUGCGAACGCGUGGGGAGCAAACAGGAUUAGAAACCCCAGUAGUCC